rnacentral:rRNA from 1 species
AACGUGAGCCCUGGUUUCGGCUGGGGUGAAAGUGGCGAACGGGUGAGUAACACAUGGCUGACCUGCCCCUCAGGGGGGGAUAACUACUGGAAACGGUAGCUAAUACCCCAUACGCUCGCUCGGGUUAGAGGCCGGGUGAGGAAAGGCGGAAGCUGCUGAGGGAGGGGGCUGUGGCCCAUCAGCUAGUUGGUGGGGUAACGGCCUACCAAGGCGAGGACGGGUAGGGGGCCUGAGAGGGUGACCCCCCACACGGGCACUGAGAGACGGGCCCGACUCCUACGGGAGGCAGCAGUAAGGGAUAUUGCGCCAAUGGGCGAAAGCCUGACGCAGCAACGCCGCGUGCGGGAAGAAGGCCUUCGGGUUGUAAACCGCUUUGAGAGGGGAAGAGGCAGGACGGUACCCUCGGAACAAGUCUCGGCUAACUACGUGCCAGCAGCCGCGGUAAAACGUAGGAGGCGAGCGUUAUCCGGAGUUACUGGGUGUAAAGGGCGUGUAGGCGGCUGAGCAAGUCGUAUGUGAAAGCGCUCAGGCUCAACCGGGCGAGGACAUGCGAGACUGCUUAGCUAGAGGCAGGUAGAGGCGCGUGGAAUUCCGGGUGUAGUGGUGAAAUGCGUAGAGAUCCGGAGGAACACCAGUGGCGAAGGCGGCGCGCUGGGCCUGACCUGACGCUGAGGCGCGAAAGCAUGGGGAGCGAACGGGAUUAGAAACCCCGGUAGUCCAUGCUGUAAACGAUGCGGACUAGGUGUGGCGACGGAAGUUGCCGUGCCGGAGCUAACGUGGUAAGUCCGCCACCUGGGGAGUACGGCCGCAAGGUUAAAACUCAAAGGAAUUGACGGNNNCCCGCACAAGCAGC